CAACCCCUCGAGCCCCCGGGCCCGGUGUUGGGGAACGACCAGCAGCCCUCCGGGGCGGUCGUCCCUGAAAUACAGUGGCGGUCACGUCGCGGACCCUCUGCGUAGUAGCAACACCUCGCACUGGAGAGCGGCGCGCCCACGCCCCGAAACACUUCUUUCACA
rnacentral:misc_RNA from 1 species